GAUAACCGUAGAUAACUAAGGGGUCUAAAGUGGGUUGAGUCACUAAACGAACCGUUUCAGUAGUGGAGUCGUACAACCCACCCCAAUACAUGGCUUUUCCCACUAAUAACAAUGCACCGAUGCCUAAAAACAAGAGGUGAUGACCUAAAAUAAUACCCAAUUUUUUCGGGUCAUCCCA
rnacentral:antisense_RNA from 16 species